rnacentral:rRNA from 1 species
GGUAUAUACCUGAAUGAAACUUCGGUCGAAUGAGGGUAUAGAGAGCGGCGGACGGGUGAGUAACGCGUAGGCAACCUGCCCCAUACAGAGGGAUAGCCUCGGGAAACCGGGAUUAAUACCUCAUAAUGCGCGGGGUUCACAUGAACCCUUCGCCAAAGAUUUAUCGGUAUGGGAUGGGCCUGCGUCUGAUUAGCUAGUUGGUGGGGUAACGGCCUACCAAGGCGACGAUCAGUAGCCGACCUGAGAGGGUAAUCGGCCACAUUGGAACUGAGACACGGUCCAAACUCCUACGGGAGGCAGCAGUGGGGAAUAUUGCACAAUGGGCGAAAGCCUGAUGCAGCAACGCCGCGUGAGCGAUGAAGGCCUUUGGGUCGUAAAGCUCUGUCCUUGGGGAAGAAAAAAAUGACGGUACCCUUGGAGGAAGCCCCGGCUAACUACGUGCCAGCAGCCGCGGUAAUACGUAGGGGGCAAGCGUUAUCCGGAAUUAUUGGGCGUAAAGAGUGCGUAGGUGGUCUUGUAAGCGCGGGGUGAAAGGCAAUAGCUUAACUAUUGUGAGCCCUGCGAACUGUGAGACUUGAGUGCAGGAGAGGAAAGCGGAAUUCCUAGUGUAGCGGUGAAAUGCGUAGAUAUUAGGAGGAACACCAGUGGCGAAGGCGGCUUUCUGGACUGUAACUGACACUGAGGCACGAAAGCGUGGGGAGCAAACAGGAUUAGAUACCCUGGUAGUCCACGCCGUAAACGAUGAGCACUAGGUGUCGGGGCCGCAAGGUUUCGGUGCCGCAGUUAACGCAUUAAGUGCUC